CAACCAGACUCCUACGGGAGGCAGCAGUGAGGAAUAUUGGUCAAUGGGCGCAAGCCUGAACCAGCCAAGUCGCGUGAGGGAAGACGGUCCUAUGGAUUGUAAACCUCUUUUGCCGGGGAGCAAUGCAGGCCUUGCGAGGCCUGAGGGAGAGUACCCGGAGAAAAAGCAUCGGCUAACUCCGUGCCAGCAGCCGCGGUAAUACGUAGGUGGCAAGCGUUAUCCGGAUUUACUGGGUGUAAAGGGGGCGCAGACGGCGAUGCAAGCCAGGAGUGAAAGCCCGGGGCCCAACCCCGGGACUGCUCUUGGAACUGCGUGGCUGGAGUGCAGGAGGGGCAGGCGGAAUUCCUGGUGUAGCGGUGAAAUGCGUAGAUAUCAGGAGGAACACCGGUGGCGAAGGCGGCCUGCUGGACUGCAACUGACGUUGAGGCCCGAAAGCGUGGGGAGCAAACAGGAUUAGAUACCCCAGUAA
rnacentral:rRNA from 1 species